rnacentral:rRNA from 1 species
GACGAACGCUGGCGGCGUGCUUAACACAUGCAAGUCGAACGGAAAGGCCCUGCUUUUGUGGGGUGCUCGAGUGGCGAACGGGUGAGUAACACGUGAGUAACCUGCCCUUGAAUUUGGGAUAACUUCAGGAAACUGGGGCUAAUACCGGAUAGGAGCUCCUGCUGCAUGGGGGGGGUUGGAAAGUUUCGGCGGUUGGGGCUGGACUCGCGGCUUAUCAGCUUGUUGGUGGGGUAGUGGCUUACCAAGGCUUUGACGGGUAGCCGGCAUGAGAGGGUGACCGGCGACAUUGGGACUGAGAGACGGCCCAGACGCCUACGGGACGCAGCAGUGGGGAGUCUUGCACAAUGGGCGGAAGUCUGAUGCAGCAACGCCGCGUGCGGGAUGACGGCCUUCGGGUUGUAAACCGCUGUCGCAUGUGACGAGGCGUGCGUGACGGUAAUGGGUAAAGAAGCACCGGCUAACUACGUG